CAGUGAUGUGAAGCGAAACUCAAAAAAGUAAGUCUCAGUUCGGAUUGAAGGCUGAAAUUCGCCUUCAUGAAGCCGGAAUUGCUAGUAAUCGCGGAUCAGCAUGCCGCGGUGAAUACGUUCCCGGGCCUUGUACACACCGCCCGUCACACCAUGAGAGUCGAUAACACCCGAAGCCUGUAGUCUAACCGCAAGGAGGACGCAGUCGAAGGUGGGAUUGAUAAUUAGGGUGAAGUCGUAACAAGGUAGC
rnacentral:rRNA from 1 species